UCCGGUUGAUCCUGCCAGAGGUUACUGCUAUCGGUGUUCGCCUAAGCCAUGCGAGUCAUAUGUUCUUCGUGAACAUGGCGUACUGCUCAGUAACACGUGGAUAACCUGCCCUUGGGUCCGGCAUAACCCCGGGAAACUGGGGAUAAUUCCGGAUAACGCACAUAUGCUGGAAUGCUUUAUGCGUAAAAUGGAUUCGUCUGCCCAAGGAUGGGUCUGCGGCCUAUCAGGUAGUAGUGGGUGUAAUGUACCUACUAGCCAACAACGGGUACGGGUUGUGAGAGCAAGAGCCCGGAGAUGGAUUCUGAGACAUGAAUCCAGGCCCUACGGGGCGCAGCAGGCGCGAAAACUUUACAAUGCGGGAAACCGUGAUAAGGGGACACCGAGUGCCAGCAUCAUAUGCUGGCUGUCCGGGUGUGUAAAAUACACCCGUUAGCAAGGGCCGGGCAAGACCGGUGCCAGCCGCCGCGGUAACACCGGCGGCCCGAGUGGUGAUCGUGAUUAUUGGGUCUAAAGGGUCCGUAGCCGGUUUGGUCAGUCCUCCGGGAAAUCUGAUGGCUCAACCAUUAGGCUUUCGGGGGAUACUGCCAGGCUUGGAACCGGGAGAGGUAAGAGGUACUACAGGGGUAGGAGUGAAAUCUUGUAAUCCCUGUGGGACCACCUGUGGCGAAGGCGUCUUACCAGAACGGGUUCGACGGUGAGGGACGAAAGCUGGGGGCACGAACCGGAUUAGAUACCCGGGUAGUCCCAGCCGUAAACGAUGCUCGCUAGGUGUCAGGCAUGGCGCGACCGUGUCUGGUGCCGCAGGGAAGCCGUGAAGCGAGCCACCUGGGAAGUACGGCCGCAAGGCUGAAACUUAAAGGAAUUGGCGGGGGAGCACAACAACGGGUGGAGCCUGCGGUUUAAUUGGACUCAACGCCGGACAACUCACCGGGGACGACAGCAAAAUGUAGGCCAGGCUGAAGACCUUGCCUGAAUCGCUGAGAGGAGGUGCAUGGCCGUCGCCAGUUCGUACUGUGAAGCAUCCUGUUAAGUCAGGUAACGAGCGAGACC
rnacentral:rRNA from 1 species